CCUACGGGAGGCAGCAGUGAGGAAUAUUGGUCAAUGGCCGUAAGGCUGAACCAGCCACGUCGCGUGAAUGAAGAAGGAUCUAUGUUUUGUACACUUCUUUUAUAGGGGAAUAAAGGUCUCCACGUGUGGAUGUUUGCGUGUACCCUAUGAUUAAGCCUCGCCGAACUCCGUGCCAGCAGCCGCCGUUAUACGGAGGAGGCUAGCGUUAUCCGGAUUUAUUGGGCUUAAAGGGUCCGUAGGUGGUAUUGUAAGUCCGCGGUGAAAGUUUGUGGCUCAACCAUAAAACUGCCGUUGAAACUGGAAGACUUGAGUGUGGGUGAGGUAGGCGGAAUGCGUGGUGUAGCGGUGAAAUGCAUAGAUAUCACGCAGAACUCCGAUUGCGAAGGCAGCUUACUAAGCCAUAACUGACACUGAAGCACGAAAGCGUGGGGAUCAAACAGGAUUAGAUACCCGAGUAGUC
rnacentral:rRNA from 1 species